GGGACAGUGGCGGAGCUGGCCGAACGCAAAUGUGCCCGUCAGGGCGUUUCCCUGCCGCCCCCUUGCCCAGAUUGGGCCGACAGGUCAGGGUUAUUUCCAUUCGUCGCAAGACUUCGCGGGUUCGAAUCCCGCCUGUCCCC
rnacentral:tRNA from 2 species